rnacentral:sRNA from 1 species
UCCAAAACGCAACAAUAUUCGUGGAGCAC